ACCGCGAUAGCUCAGCUGGUAGAGCAUCUGCCCGGUAUGCAUAGGGUCGCCGGUUCGAUUCCGGCUCGCGGCG
rnacentral:tRNA from 1 species